GAUCAUGGCUCAGGAUGAACGCUGGCGGCGUUGCUUAACACAUGCAAGUCGAAACGGAGUUUUAAUGAUUGAUUGACUUAGCUUGCUAAUGAGAGAUUUCAUUAAAACUUAGUGGCGGACGGGUGAGUAACGCGUGGGUAACCUGCCCUAUACAGGGGGACAACAGUUGGAAACGACUGCUAAUACCGCAUAAGCGCACGGUACCGCAUGGUACAGUGUGAAAAACUCCGGUGGUAUAGGAUGGACCCGCGUCUGAUUAGCUAGUUGGUGAGGUAACGGCCCACCAAGGCGACGAUCAGUAGCCGGCCUGAGAGGGUGAACGGCCACAUUGGGACUGAGACACGGCCCAAACUCCUACGGGAGGCAGCAGUGGGGAAUAUUGCACAAUGGGCGAAAGCCUGAUGCAGCAACGCCGCGUGAGGGAAGAAGGUCUUCGGAUCGUAAACUUCUAUUCUUGGUGAAGAUAAUGACGGUAGCCGAGAAGGAAGCCCCGGCUAACUACGUG
rnacentral:rRNA from 1 species